AAUAAGUAUAAAAUUCGGUAAGUUAUAAUUAUAAGUGACUACAUUUUUCUUAAAUCGACUUUUUUAAAACACACUUAAGACAUUAUGGAAACAAUUGUACUUUCAGUUUUGAAAUGCGCAUUGGUCAUAACAAUUGUGAACAUGUUUUCUUUCAAAUCAGAUUUAAGUGUUAUAGUCGUAAACGUUCACUGGCGUUUAACUUCUUAGUCAUUUAAAAAAAUAAAAUGCACAAUUAUAACAAAAAUUGUAAAAAUUAGUAAAAGCACAAAAAAUAAAUGAGGCGAAUUACAUAAACAGUCAUAAAAGCAGUUUCUAUCAAAAUUAAAAACCAAUGAUACGGAGAGAAAUACACACGCACGACAUACAUGCACAGAGAGAGAAAUUAAGGUAUUGUAAAUGAAAUGCACUAAUGCAAGGACAAAGAUACAGGCGAUAAUUGAUAAUUUAGAUAUGUUUGUAGUUGGAGCUGUAGGUUUUGGAGAGGCUUGUGGACCCGCGGACGGAAGUCAUGGAAAUUGCACCUGACCCACUUUAAUUUGUACUAAAAGUGGAAAGUGUGAUUGCGCAGACGGAUACAAACAGUCUAAUUCAGCUUGCGCUCGCAUUGUAGGAUUUGGAGAUCCUUGUGGACCCCCGGACGGAACUCAGGGAAACUGCACCGAACCCAAUUUAAUUUGUGCACAAAGUGGAAAGUGUGACUGUAAACAAGGAUACACACAAUCUGGCAAAGCUUGCGCCGCUAGGAACGAAGGGAGCGCACCGGGUCACCUCUCCAUCUGGAUGCUGUGUACGACAUUCAUGACGAUGUCGCUGGCUGUCCACGUGGUGUAACACUCACUAACAUUCCCUCGGAGAUGUUCAAGAUGGCUUUGAACAAUUACUCUUCUCUCCCUAACUUCUGUACGAUUCUGAUUCCUAAAAUUUGUGUUGUUUAAAGACUGCCGUACCUUAUGAAGUACAUUGUUUAUGCCCCAUCUUUCUCAGCUGACAUUUGUUACUGGAGUCCUUUUUCGCUCCUUUUCAAUAAAUUGUAUUCCAUGUGAAGACAUCAGACCGUCACAAACAAGGCAAUCAAAGAGCAGUAAAUAUCAGCUACUUCACGGCCAUUUCGCUUGUUUUAUUUUCGAUAAUGACCUAUGGGACACAAACCAUAGUGAUGAAAAUAAGACAACCACUGGGCACAAGAAGAUUGCUGUGUGUUUUACGUGACAGGUGCAAACAUGAAAUAUACUUUGGACUUAAACAUUACCUACUUUUUAAAUUGCAAUGAAAAUUACAAAUGUGUGAUGGAGAUGCCACUUCAUAAUUUUUAAAAGGUGUUUCAAAGAAUGCUCUGUUUAAUUGCUUUUCAAAUAUCAAUGAUUUCCUUUCCUUCAUUCGUCCUUUCUAUAAAAAUGUUUUAACAAUAAGUUCAAAACUAAAAAGAAAAUAAAGUUUUAUUAUAAUAA